rnacentral:rRNA from 1 species
GACGAACGCUGGCGGCGUGCUUAACACAUGCAAGUCGAACGGAAAGGCCCUGCUUGCAGGGUACUCGAGUGGCGAACGGGUGAGUAACACAUGGGUGAUCUGCCCUGCACUUCGGGAUAAGCCUGGGUAACUGGGUCUAAUACCGGAUAGGAGCCAUUUUUAGUGUGAUGGUUGGAAAGUUUUUUCGGUGUAGGAUGAGCUCGCGGCCUAUCAGCUUGUUGGUGGGGUAAUGGCCUACCAAGGCGGCGACGGGUAGCCGGCCUGAGAGGGUGGACGGCCACAUUGGGACUGAGAUACGGCCCAGACUCCUACGGGAGGCAGCAGUGGGGAAGAUUGCACAAUGGGCGCAAGCCUGAUGCAGCGACGCCGCGUGGGGGAUGACGGCCUUCGGGUUGUAAACUCCUUUCGCUAGGGACGAAGCUUUUUGUGACGGUACCUAGAUAAGAAGCACCGGCUAACUACGUG